CACUCCACUGUCAACUGUCUGCAUCAGUUUGCAGAUCACUUUCUGAUCUGCUGGGUUGCUUUUACCCUCCUGGUGGGAGAGGUGCAAAUUAAAGCUAACAACAACCAGCUGCGCCCGCGCACUCAGUCUCAGCAACCACGAGUGAAGACCAACUUUAUUCUGGUGACAUUUACUUUCUUUUCACUGCUUAUUCUGAAAUGUGAAACCCUGGCUGUUUCAAAACUAUUUCGGGACACUGUGAAAAUCAAAAACGCCACCUUGAUUUGCUGUGAGGAGUUCAUGUCUCUCUAUAUAUCAAAGAUCAAAUUCACAGAUCUUUUUGAUGGCCAUGUACGUUUAUGUUGCGUCCUGGGGAUGUUUUGUGAGAAGACGAGCAUGUGCCGGGCAGUGGCUGAGUUGAGUCAGAAAAGUGCUGAGUCUUUGCCUCUAAUCUGUGAAAGGAAUGAAAGAAGCAUCAUCAAAGCAGUUUCUCUGCAGCAAAGAUGGCUUCAACAUUACCAUACACAAGCAUGCAACAAUGCCCCCCCUGAAUCUGGAUACAGUCUGGAUCCCUUCUGGCCAAAAUCCCAACUGUAAACCCAAGAAAAGAUCAGCUGAUGGCAUCACUUUCAACUUUCUGUUCAGUGACUGUGGCACUCGGUCUAUGUAGCUGAGCGUGGCCAGCCCGUGUAUGUGGAACUGUUUGCAGUCAAACAUGAGAACAGGGACUUGGUUCUGCUGCUGGAGGACAGCUGGGCUACACUGACUGAGGACUCAGAUGGCCCACAAAGAUGGAAACUGCUGCUGGUGACAGCCACAAAACAGUUAUGCUGCAAGUUUCCAGUAGCCUACAGAACUAGGAUGAUCCUCCAUUUACAACUGGUGUAUUUCCACUGCAAUGUAGAGAUCUGUAAGGGGCCAGAGUGCCUGCAGCCUUGCAGUAGUUGGAAAUCGACUUUUAGACCGUUCAUCUUUUGUCUUAUAAAUCUAAAAAUAACACUGAUCUCACACGUUAACAUGUAACACUGUAAACAAAAGAUUGUUUUUCUUUGUUUUGGGGGAGUGCAUAAAUCAGGAAGACCUCCUGGAUCACUAUAUGACAAUCAAAUCAACCAAGGACUGUACAGUUUGUAAUGAAUAUUAAAUUGUACCUCCCAAAAGACGUUUUCCUUAUAAUAUUUAAUCACAUAUUUAAUUCUUCUCCAA
ensembl:lncRNA